rnacentral:rRNA from 1 species
CCUACGGGAGGCAGCAGUGGGGGAUAUUGCACAAUGGGGGGAACCCUGAUGCAGCGACGCCGCGUGGGUGAAGGAGCGUUUCGGCGCGUAAAGCCCUAUCGGCAGGGAAGAAGAAGGACGGUCCCUGACUACGAAGCCCCGACUAACUACGUGCCAGCAGCCGCGGUAAUACGUAGGGGGCAAGCGUUUUCCGGAUUUACUGGGUGUAAGGGGGGCGCAGACGGGCGGGGAAGCCAGGAGUGAAAGCCCGGGGCCCAACCCCGGGAGUGUUCUUGGAACUGCGAGGCUGGAGUGCAGGGGGGGCAGGAGGAAUUCGUGGGGUAGCGGUGAAAUGCGUAGAUAUCAGGAGGAACACCGGUGGCGAAGGCGGCCUGCUGGACUGCGACUGACGUUGAGGCCCGAAAGCGUGGGGAGCAAACAGGAUUAGAUACCCGGGUAGUC